GGUCUACUGGCCCAAUGGAAAGGCGUCUGACUACGAAUCAGGAGAUUGCAGGUUCGACCCCUGCGUAGAUCA
rfam:Lobosporangium transversale strain NRRL 3116 BCR41scaffold_2, whole genome shotgun sequence.